CUAUAGGCAGAAUUAAAAGUAAUGAGAAAGCUGACCAUGAAACUGUUGAGCAGGCCAUUGAUCACAGGACUCAGAUGGUUCUCUUCAAAUUGCUCGACUGUCAAGUAUUUAAUGAUAUAAAUGGUUGCAUUUCCACUGGUCAAGAAGUAUGCUGUUAUCUAUAGUCAGCAGUGCCCACUACUUCCGUAUUUCUAGCAAUCAAUUGCAAAUGUCUAUCUGCAACAAAAUCUGACGGGCAAGAAUUGGCAAUUAAAGUCUACAAGACUUCAGUGCUGGUGUUUAAGUAAGUGUGAUAGUUUUUAGUUGUUUGUGAGGCGCCUUCAUGGGUGUUCGAAAGUGCAAUACUGCAUUUCGCUACAAGUUUGUGAUAUUUAUUCUUUCUCGAAUUGACGAUUGAUAUACAGGUUCUGUUUGUUGUGAUGGCAGUCACUGCUAGAU